rnacentral:rRNA from 1 species
AUUGAACGCUGGCGGCAGGCUUAACACAUGCAAGUCGAGCGGAGAUGAGGUGCUUGCACCUUAUCUUAGCGGCGGACGGGUGAGUAAUGCUUAGGAAUCUGCCUAUUAGUGGGGGACAACAUUCCGAAAGGAAUGCUAAUACCGCAUACGUCCUACGGGAGAAAGCAGGGGAUCUUCGGACCUUGCGCUAAUAGAUGAGCCUAAGUCGGAUUAGCUAGUUGGUGGGGUAAAGGCCUACCAAGGCGACGAUCUGUAGCGGGUCUGAGAGGAGGAUCCGCCACACUGGGACUGAGACACGGCCCAGACUCCUACGGGAGGCAGCAGUGGGGAAUAUUGGACAAUGGGGGGAACCCUGAUCCAGCCAUGCCGCGUGUGUGAAGAAGGCCUUAUGGUUGUAAAGCACUUUAAGCGAGGAGGAGGCUACUGAGACUAAUACUCUUGGAUAGUGGACGUUACUCGCAGAAUAAGCACCGGCUAACUCUGUGCCAGCCGCCGCGGUAAAAC